AUUGAACGCUGGCGGCAGGCCUAACGCAUGCAAGUCGAGCGGAUGAAGGGAGCUUGCUCCUGGAUUCAGCGGCGGACGGGUGAGUAAUGCCUAGGAAUCUGCCUGGUAGUGGGGGAUAACGUCCGGAAACGGGCGCUAAUACCGCAUACGUCCUGAGGGAGAAAGUGGGGGAUCUUCGGACCUCACGCUAUCAGAUGAGCCUAGGUCGGAUUAGCUAGUUGGUGGGGUAAAGGCCUACCAAGGCGACGAUCCGUAACUGGUCUGAGAGGAUGAUCAGUCACACUGGAACUGAGACACGGUCCAGACUCCUAAGGGAGGCAGCAGUGGGGAAUAUUGGACAAUGGGCGAAAGCCUGAUCCAGCCAGGCCGCGUGUGUGAAGAAGGACUUCGGAUUGUAAAGCACUUUAAGUUGGGAGGAAGGGCAGUAAGUUAAUACCUUGCUGUUUUGACGGUACCAACAGAAUAAGCACCGGCUAACUUCGUG
rnacentral:rRNA from 1 species